rnacentral:rRNA from 1 species
AUUUUUAACAAUGGAUCUCUUGGCUCUCGCAUCGAUGAAGAACGCAGCGAAAUGCGAUAAGUAAUGUGAAUUGCAGAUUUCAGUGAAUCAUCGAAUCUUUGAACGCACCUUGCGCUCCUUGGUACUCCGAGGAGCAUGCCUGUUUGAGUGUC